UCUUCGUUUCUUGCCGCCUUUUUUCUUCCUCCUGUUCUCGUUCGUCUAUUUUUCGUUACUCUGUUCUUGUUUGCCGCGUUUUUCAUCGUGAAUUUCUCUGCGCGGCCCUUAAGAUCGCCUUCCUCAGUGUGAAAUGGAAGCGUUUCGAGUCAUAGCUGCGCUACAGCGAAUACUCUUUCCGGAGAAUCCCAUUAGGGUUUUCCUUCUGGAAUUCUCUCCAUUUCCCAUUUGACCUUUUUUUCGAGGCAUUUGAUCUCCGCCUUUGGAUCUCCUACUUCCUUUUUUCUGGAACCCUAGCGACUUGGCUUCUCUGCUGUUUCGUUAGUUUAGUUUCAGAUGAUUGGAGUUUCAGACCCGUGUGGACAUUUUCUAUGUCUCGCUUUAAGUUUUCAUGAUUCUUAGUGUAAGCCUGAUGAUUGUGUUAAGAACGGAGAUUCGAAUGGUGCUUUUGUGGAAGCCUAAUUAGUUUUCGGGCUCCAAGAGUAUUGCAUGUGACAAAUCUAAAGAACAUCAAAUGAAGGCUUAGGCUGGUGAAUCCUAUUAUAACAAUAAUUCUUUUCGUUCUUGUUAUUUAUGUAUAAAUACUCUCUUUGGCUUUUAACGUUUGUAGUUCAUUCCGACAUAGGAAAGGAAUUUGAACCCUUUGAUUUUGUUAUGAUUACGAAUUCAUAUUGAACUCCUCCGAUCUUCUACUCAGUAAUAAGCUUGUGAUUUAAUUGUAUUUUUUUGUUGUCGUGUAUUGAUUUGGUUUAAGUUUGGAUAUUCGAUCAUGAAUUUUCAGAAUAAUCAACGAGGUUGUUGAUCACAAGAUGAAGAAAAGCCUCUGCCGCUUGUGUCUUAUGGGCCAAUUUUUUAGAGAGAUGAAUUUCUGGUUUUUUAUAAAUACGCAGAAACUAACGUUUGUGGGAACUAAUGUGUCCAGAUGAUUAUUACUCCCCUACUGUACAAUUAUUGUACUCGUAUGUUUCAAUCAUUACAUUCUUUAAUUGGGAUAUUUACUCUCGCUUAUUUUAGUUCA